rnacentral:misc_RNA from 1 species
UUUCCGUAGGUGAACCUGCGGAAGGAUCAUUAUCGAGUUUGAUUUGUUAAUUCAAAUCUUCUCCCACCCUUUGUGAACUUAUAAAUUGUUGCUUUCACCGAUCGAUUUUUAAUUAAACCUUUGGUCUUUGACUGGAGAGUAUCGGUGAAGGGUUUUAAACUCUGUUUAAUUUUAAAAUCUGAGCAAAUACAAAUAAAUAAAACUUUCAACAACGGAUCUCUUGGUUCUGGCAUCGAUGAAGAACGCAGC